AAGUCGUAACAAGGUUUCCGUAGGUGAACCUGCGGAAGGAUCAUUACCACAUCCAAAAUCUUAUAUAAACCCACACAUGUGAAGCUAUGAUGAGGAACUUUUCCUUUAUUAUUUGAACCCCUUUUGAACUUUUUUAACAAGUAACAAGCAAGACUAACAAAAAUGAGAAAAGAGAAAACAACUUUUAACGGUGGAUCUCUUGGCUCGU
rnacentral:misc_RNA from 1 species